UACGGAGGGUGCAAGCGUUAUCCGGAUUCACUGGGUUUAAAGGGUGCGUAGGCGGGCAGGUAAGUCAGAGGUGAAAUCUCCGGGCUUAACCCGGAAACUGCCUUUGAUACUAUCUGUCUUGAAUAUGGUGGAGGUAAGCGGAAUAUGUCAUGUAGCGGUGAAAUGCUUAGAUAUGACAUAGAACACCGAUAGCGAAGGCAGCUUGCUACACAAAAAUUGACGCUGAGGCACGAAAGCGUGGGGAUCAAACAGG
rnacentral:rRNA from 1 species